AAACCUGAAAUUGCACGAAAAUAACUUUAAACACUAUAAUUAUCAUAGUUUAGCUAAUUAAAAGCAAGAAAAGAAGCUAACUAAGUCGUAUAAAUAUGCUCCUAUCAAGGGGUAGCUCAAACUUAUUAAAUUUUGGAGAUAAAGUGUAUAUUUAUAGGAGAGAUGGAGAAGAUGGUCUGGCCCUCUAGGGUUUAAGGGUGGCUGGCCCUAUGUGGUAUUUUAAGUGAGAAUAUUCCAAGAUAUUUGUGUAAAGAAAUAUCUUGGAGUAAUUAGGUAAAUAUCCUAAAUAAAUGUAAUUACGAUAACUUACUUGAUAGAGGUAUUCUCUAAUAAGAAAUGUAUUUAUGAUAAGAAUAAGGGAUUAUUCUAUCAUAAAUACUUUUGACUUUUCUUAUGGGCAGGGGUGCCUUGAGCAGUCGUUGAUCUCUGUCUGCUCUACCUUAGUUGCCCGUGGUGAAUGAGACCACUCCUUGCUUAUUUAAUAAGGGCAGUCUUGUCUUUCUUGGAAAAUAAUCCACAUGUCAACUCUAUGAUUUUUGGGAUUAUUUUUGGCUCCACACCAUGUUAGACCAAUUUUUUUUUUUAUAACAAGUAUCAUGUAUGAGAUUUGGGUGGUUAUUAUGCAAAAAGUGAAAAAUGAUGUGCAUAGAUUUCUUUUUUUCUACAGCUUUUCACCUUAUAAUAUGUGGUA
rnacentral:lncRNA from 1 species